rnacentral:tRNA from 1 species
GUUUGUUUGGUUCAUAUAUUUUGAUUGGGGGGUCGGUGGAAGGCUGGUUAAACCGUUUGGUUUACGACCACUAUGACCCGGGUUUGAUCCCCGCAUUGGACA